UGGGGAAUUUUGGACAAUGGGGGAACCCAUGAUCCAGCCAUCCCGCGUGUGCGAUGAAGGCCUUCGGGUUGUAAAGCACUUUUGGCAGGAAAGAAACGUCGCGGGUUAAUACCCCGCGGAACUGACGGUACCUGCAGAAUAAGCACCGGCUAACUACGUGCCAGCAGGCCGCGGUAAUACGUAGGGUGCAAGCGUUAAUCGGAAUUACUGGGGCGUAAAGCGUGCGCAGGCGGUUCGGAAAGAAAGAUGUGAAAUCCCAGAGCUUAAUCUUUGGAACUGCAUUUUUAACUACCGGGCUAGGAGUGUGUCAGAGGGAGGGUGGAAUUCCGCGUGUANCAGUGAAAUGCGUAGAUAUGCGGAGGAACACCGAUGGCGAAGGCA
rnacentral:rRNA from 1 species